UUAUUUAUUUUAUAAUUGUACCACAUAUCAAUUAUUGUAUGUAAUGGUUUUAAUAACUUUUUUGUAGUGGUAGAUCUUAUUAAUUAACGAAAGUUAGAUAUAGUAAUUUAUAUAAUUCCGGUUAAAAUCGUGCCAGCCACCGCGGUUAUACGUAAGGAAGACAUAAAUAUUUUUGGUUAACAGUUAAAUUUUUAUUACUUCCAAACUUAAAAUUUUUAGGUGAAAUUUUAAUUUUAUUAUAAGUGGAUAAUGUUGAAGCUGUGAAAUUUAAUUUAAAAACAAGGAUUAGAUACCCUUUUAUUUUAAAUGUAAAUAUUAACCUGGGUAGUAAUAGUUAUGUACUUGAAACCCAAAGAAUUUGGCGGUAUUUUACUCUUUUUAGAGGAACCUGUCCUGUAAUUGAUAGUCCACGAUGAUAAAACACUUUUUCUUGUAAUCAUUUUGUAUACCUCCGUCAUAAGAGUAUCUUUUUAGAGUUAAUAUUCUUUAUAUACAAAAUAUGAAAUGUCAGGUCAAGGUGCAAUUUAUGGGAAAGUAGAGAUGGGUUACAAUAAAUUUAUUUAUACGAAUUACUAUAAUUAUAUUUAGUAUGAAGGUGGAUUUAAAAGUAAUAUUAUUUUCUUAAUAAUCUGAUUCUAGCUCUAAAAUAUGCACACAUCGCCCGUCGCUCUUAUUUUAAAAUAAGAUAAGUCGUAACAUAGUAGAUGUACCGGAAGGUGUAUCUAGUAAGUA
rnacentral:ncRNA from 1 species